AUGCUGCAUGCUUCUAGACUUCCUGUUUCUUCCCGUGGUUCACUGGACAAAACUCACCUCCUUGAGCAGGGCAACCAUUCUGUACCACCUGGCUUCUGCCCUCUUCGAAGCUCUCCUCUGCUCUUUGAACUGUACUACAUUCUCUCAGCACAUCAAAUUUUGAUUGCCUUCAGGCUUUGUACAUGCUGUUCCCUCUGGCUAGAACACCCUUCCCACCGUGUUCCUAUUAUGACUUCAUACAUAUACCGAUCAUGGCUUACCUUCCAAUCUAGUAGAAAAAGAGAAGCAACAAAUGGCCAGGUUGGUCACAAAACUUGGAAUGAGAAAAGAGCCUGUGCCUGUCUUUGUUAUCAGUCUCCCUGGGGCUUCACCCAUAAACAAUGCUCCUGCGAUGUGUGUUAAGGCAAUGAAUGCUCUAUAUACACUUGUUGACUAGACAGGAAAAAAAAAAAAAGAACACAAGGUCACAUAUGCAGGGCUGGAGGUGGAGGAGAGACUGAGGCUAGGAAGGCCAAGGACAUAAGGAAGAGCAGUGACAAAUGCCACGAGGGCCCGACCUGCAGCACAGCUCCACUCCUGGCAGCUGGAGUGUUUGUGAGAGGCGGUGCACGCGUGCAUGUGUGAGAGGUGAGGAGCGAUGUGUGUUGCAUUUGUGAAUUAACCUGUGUGUGAGAAUGCAAGGAAACGGGGGUGUGUGUGUGUGUGUGUGUGUGUGUGUGUGUGUGUGUGUGUGUGUGUGUGUGUGACACGACGAUGACUCUUUGCAAGAAAGCCAUGAAGACUGUGGGUCUGCAUAGGCGUCUGAGGAGGAAAACUAUGUAUGUGCGCGGACUCACGCACGCGCACACAGACACACACACAGGAUACUGUCUAUACCUGACUAAAGUUGCACAUGUCUACUAGAAGGAAGGAUGACUGGAAAGAUGGGGGGGGGCACAUGACUGAGGGGAUGUGACUGUGAUCGGGAUUGUUGUAAGAUAAUUGCACAGGGGAAGAUGGUGUCCCUGUGAGCGUGACCAACAUAGAAGUUAAGAGGUGUCAGGGCUCUGCUCAGUGUGUGGCUGGGGUGGCCUCUGCCACAGGUCUGGUGCCAGAGGUGGGGGCCAAGGGUUAAUGCUCGUGGAGCAGAAGACUCCUCAGAGCCUCUAAGGCAUCAGAUCACUAUGUUCCCAAGCAGGGAGACUGAGAAGGAGGCCCAGAUGUGCGUGUACCUCCACAUCUGUCCACAGCAAAACCUCUGGGCAUUUAUCUGUCUUUGUCUAUGUCCGGGUGUGCACGCCUGUGCUUGUGUAAGCUCUGCCAGCCGUGUGUCUGCACUUGUCUUUGUCUGUAUGUAUCUAGGGCCUUUGUCUGAGAGUGUGGCUGUUGGUCUAUGCCUGUCUGGGUGGCAGUGUCUGGUUUUGUGUGUCUAAGUUCAUCUGUGUCUAUGGGGUACCGUGUGUCCUUGACUCUGCAUGUUGAAGGGGUAGAUGCAAGAGACUCUAGGACUGCUUGUCUGCAUCUGCAGACCCGGGUGGCCGCAUUCUGGCAGACACACUAUUUUGAAGCUGUGGGUCUGAAGCUUUAGAAUAUCUGAGUAUGUGCUAUGAGUGUGUCACUGUGUAAGCCAUGCUAUGCACUGUAGCACAGCAGUGCUUAUCUGUGUUUGUGACACUGUGGAUGUGUGUGUCUCUCUACCUCUGCAUGUGUGUGUCUGUGUGUGUGUUGGGUGUGAGGGGUUUGUCACAGACUGGUGAGCAAGUUAAUCUCAGACUCCGUGACACGUGGAAUAAAAUCACGCUCCCAUAAUAGGAUCA
rnacentral:lncRNA from 1 species